CUCCUUAACGGAGGGCAGCAGUAGGGAAUAUUGGACAAUGGGUGCAAGCCUGAUCCAGCCAUGCCGCGUGCAGGAAGAAGGCCUUAUGGGUUGUAAACUGCUUUUGCCAGGGGAUAAAAAGCUCGUGCGCGAGAAAUUGAAGGUACCUGGUGAAUAAGCCACGGCUAACUACGUGCCAGCAGCCGCGGUAAUACGUAGGUGGCAAGCGUUGUCCGGAUUUAUUGGGUUUAAAGGGUGCGUAGGUGGUCUAUUAAGUCAGUGCUGAAAUAUCCCGGCUUAACCGGGAGGGUGGCAUUGAUACUGAUGGACUUGAGUGAAGUCGAGGUAGGCGGAAUUGACGGUGUAGCGGUGAAAUGCUUAGAUAUCGUCAAGAACACCGAUAGUGUAGACAGCUUACUAGGCUUUAACUGACACUGAGGCACGAAAGUGUGGGGAUCAAACAGGAUUAGAUACCCUGGUAGUCCACACUGUAAACGUUGAUGACUCGCUGUUGGCGAUAUACAGUACAGCGGCUGAGAGAAAUCGUUAAGUCUCCACUGGGAUAC
rnacentral:rRNA from 1 species